CUCCAUUACUUGCUAAUUUAGAAUGGGAACUCUUCUUUUUAUCUCACGUAGAAGUUUCAUGUUAUGCUGAUGACCAUUGUGCUAGUUUUUUGUUUACAUGUGUGCUGAGGACUGAAACCUCCAUCUAGAGGUAGAAUUUUUUUUUUCUGGGUAAAACAUUGCUGCUUUUGGGCUUGUUUAUAUAUAUAUAUAUAUAUAUUUUUUUUUUUUGGUUGCCAUUUUAGUUUUUUUCUGACAUCCUUAGAUAGUUAGUGAAGUGUUCGCAUUUAAUAUUUUCCCCAUCCUUAAUCCCUUAGGUGGUUAUUGUGUAUGAUUACCCUGCUAGUGUAGAUGCGAUGGUAGGACUUACCUGGUCAUAGUUCUUGCUUCCUACAGCUAAAGCCAUCUGGUCAAUUGAAGAGGUGCCCUGCUGUCAAUGGAGUCAGAGUUGACUUCAAAAUUAUCAUCUUUCUCCAGUGCAUAGUAGGUACUUUCAUGAUUGGAAAUUAUAGUUCAAGUACUUCUUGCGCUCUCUCCUGAGAUGCAAAUGCAUGCAUGUAGCAAACUACCUUGAGCUCUAGGUUUAAGUGCUGGAUGAGUAUUUUGAAUUUUCACCCAUAAAAUAUGGCGUUUUGGUGAUACCACUCGAUUCUCAGCUGUGUAAUGGGGAUAUUUUAUUGGUUUAGUUGCUAGAUUUGGUAGAUAUCGGAGUAUAUUGUGGUUUCCCCAGCUUUAUAAUUUAAGAUUUGUGGACUAUUUCAGGGUU